AUUGAACGCUGGCGGCAGGCCUAACACAUGCAAGUCGAACGAGUGGCGGACGGGUGAGUAGUGUCUGGGAAACUGCCCGAUGUACGGGGAUAACUACUGGAAACCUUAGCUAAUACCGCUUACCACCCGUUGUGCCCAGAUGGGAUUAGCUAGUAGGUGGGGUAACGGCUCACCUGGGCGACGAUCCCUAGCUGGUCUGAGAGGAUGACCGGCCACACUGGAACUGAGACACGGUCCAGACUCCUACGGGAGGCAGCAGUGGGGAAUAUUGCACAAUGGGCGCAAGCCUGAUGCAGCCAUGCCGCGUGUAUGAAGAAGGCCUUCGGGUUGUAAAGCACUGUCAGCGGGGAGGCGUUACCCGAAGAAGAAGCACCGGCUAACUCCGUGCCAGCAGCCGCGGUAAUAC
rnacentral:rRNA from 1 species